rnacentral:snoRNA from 1 species
UACCAAACCUUUUUGUCAGGGUGCUUCUCUGUCCUUUCUAGGACAACUUUAUCCACAGAAGUGUCUGUUACUGUUUUGGUAGAGUAAUACUGUUCGCUUAUCCUUAUUUCCUCGUUCUGAGGAAGCCUGAUGGAUAACUGAGAAGGAUAACCUUUGUUUUAAAGGUAUACCUCCUCUUUUUAGAACAGUGAGGAUCUUAUGAGUUGAGCUUUUGUUACCUUUUUCUUGGGUAUCCGUACAAUAUGUUCGUAGUAAAGAUCCUCACAACU